UGGCGUAAAACGGUUUGAUUGCAGUUGGGAACAUCCGACCAAAGACGUGUCCACACUGAGCACUCAGUUACAACGUCUCACCUCUGUUAACAUGGACAAACUUGCUGCUGUUUUGUUCUUCUCGACCCUCGUAGGUAACACCUUGGAAGAUGAUAUUACUGCCAGCACUGCUGAAGUUCUUUCAUCAGAGGGCUUCAGUGUUUCCCUGUCCUGUGACUACUCCAUUAAAGCUGAUAAUCUCCAGUGGUAUCGACAGUAUCCGGGGUCAUCUCCUCAGUUCCUUCUCCUGAUCACUGAUACUACACAGCCCUCAGUGGUGAAAGCACAACCUCCACACCCUGGGAUGACUGCUGAACUGAAUAAGGAAAGAAAUAGAGUCCAUCUGAACAUCUCGUCUGCUGCAGUGUCAGACUCUGCUGUGUACUACUGUGCUGUGAGGCCCACAGUGACAGGAAACACCAAAACC